AUUCACACUUGCUUUGGUCAAAGACUUUCUGAACUCAGUCUCACAAAUCACAUAAGAUUUCUCUUUUUCUAUCAAGGUCGGUAGAUCCCACCUAGGUGCAUCAUACUUCAAAUAAUGAACCUGAACCUACUGAAGCCAACAUACACAGCAAGGAUCUAAAUGACUAAGGAUCAAGAGAAUGUGCAGUCAAAUCUAGUAGCCUCACUGUGAAUAGCCAAUGGCACCAUAGGUCAAAGGACCACUCACACUACUGCA
rnacentral:lncRNA from 1 species